CCUACGGGGUGCAGCAGUGGGGAAUAUUGCGCAAUGGGCGAAAGCCUGACGCAGCGACGCCGCGUGAGGGAUGAAGGUCUUCGGAUCGUAAACCUCUGUCAGCAGGGAAGAACGGUCACUGUGCUAAUCAGCAGUGAAUUGACGGUACCUGCAAAGGAAGCACCGGCUACCUCCGUGCCAGCAGCCGCGGUAAUACGGAGGGUGCGAGCGUUAAUCGGAAUUACUGGGCAUAAAGCGCUCGUAGGCGGUAUGUCAAGUCAAGGGUGAAAUCCCCGCGCUCAACGUGGGAACUGCCUUUGAAACUGGCAAACUGGAGUGUGUGAGAGGAUAGUGGAAUUCCAGGUGUAGGAGUGAAAGCCGUAGAUAUCUGGAGGAACAUCAGUGGCGAAGGCGACUAUCUGGCACAUAACUGACGCUGAGGAGCGAAAGCGUGGGUAGCAAACAGGAUUAGAUACCCGGGUAGUC
rnacentral:rRNA from 1 species